rnacentral:lncRNA from 1 species
UCGUCCUGCUCUGCCUGGAUGCUGAGUGGCUGGAGAGGGUGGGCGGGCUACUGAAGCAGGGUUGGACAGGUCUGCAGCUCUCGUGGCCAUGUGCAGGUGCCUUGCUGCCGAGCCCCAGAGGCUUCUGGGAAACCUAGUGGAGGAUGCUCUUUCGGGCCUCCUUGAGGGUGGGUGUCAGGAUCUUGCUGUGCCGCCCAGGCUUCCUGGAGCUCACAUGGCAGUAGGUCUGAGGCCCUGCCUGCUCCUUCUCCCUGGGCCAGCAUCGUGACUUCUCUGUUUACUUCCAUCCCAGGGAGGAAAAUAUGGAGCUCAAGAAGUUGUUGAUGAGCGGCAGCAACAAAGAGGGGACCUGCGGGCAGCCAGGCUCGCCAAAGCUGGAGAGUGCUGGCAAGCAGGGGGUGGCCGGACAGCAGCAGGCUGGAGUGCUGGCGGGCAAGGGCCCAGGGGUGGCCGCCCCAGGUGCGGCUGAGAAGAAGGUGAAGAUGCUGGAGCAGCAGCGCAUGGAGCUGCUGGAGGUGAACAAGCAGUGGGACCAGCACUUCCGCUCCAUGAAGCAACAGUAUGAGCAGAAGAUCACCGAGCUGCGCCAGAAGCUGGGGGACCUGCAGAAGCAGGUGGCAGACCUGGAGGCCGAGCGGGAACAGAAGCAGCGUGACUUUGACCGAAAGCUCCUGCUGGCCAAGUCCAAGAUUGAAAUGGAGGAGACCGACAAAGAGCAGCUGACUGCGGAGGCCAAGGAGCUGCGCCAGAAGGUCAAGCACCUGCAGGACCAGCUGAGCCCCCUCACCCGGCAGCGCGAGUACCAGGAGAAGGAGAUCCAGCGGCUCAACAAGGCCCUGGAGGAAGCACUGAGCAUCUGCACCUCCCCAUCAUCCCCAGCAGCGUUCGGGAGCCCAGAAGGGGCCGGCAGCCUCCUAAGGAAGCAGGAGCUGGCCACACAGAAUGAGUUGCUGAAGCAGCAGGUGAAGAUCUUUGAGGAGGACUUCCAGAGGGAGCGCAGUGACCGGGAGCGCAUGAACGAGGAGAAGGAGGAGCUGAAGAAGCAGGUGGAGAAGCUGCAGGCCCAGGUCACCUUGUCAAACACCCAGCUGAAAGCAUUGAAAGAGGAGGAGAAGGCAAAAGAAGCCCUGAGACAGCAGAAGAGGAAAGCCAAGCCAGAGUACACCUGGCGCCCACCCUGUGGCAGUGUGCGGAAUCAGAGCUCCCAAGUGAUCGACGUGUCUGCAGCCCGGCCCACAGAACCAGAGCUGGCUGACCUCAGAUUACCGAAAAGCUAGAGGCUGCAUGCCCUGUGCAGCCAGAGCCUCAGCGGGCAGGAGGCUGGGAUGGGCCUCACCUCACACCUCCAGCCCUGCAGCCCUGAGGAGCUCCCACCUGGCUCCUCUUCCUCUUCGGGCGUGACACGGAGAAGCUCCCUGCCUUGCCUCCCCACCGCAUGGAGAGGCCUCGGCAGGCUGCCGUCCUGUGCUGAAGCCGCAGGAUGUCCAUCCUGAGAGCGAGAUGCAGCUGGGACCCCUUCCCCUGAAAGCCUCCACAGAAGCGGUUCUGGCCCCUCGGUGCCAGGUCCGGUUUACGAGUAUGUGUGAGCUUUGCUCCGAGCUCUGCAGCAGGCCUGCCCCAUGCCCAUCCCUAUCCCUCUGUGAGGAGCUGCAGGAAGAGUGGGUUCUCCAGAGCAGAACAGUCGGACAGAGGUGCUGUCCACCUCCACCCAGACAGCCUGGCCAGAGCCUCCACCCCCAAACGCAGGCCACUGCAGCCACAUCCGCAGAGGGGCCCUGGGCCCUGCCCCCGCAGCUGGAAAGGUGUGGUGUCUGAGGACCACGCAGGGGUGGCUUCUGACCCUACACACCUAUUUGCACAAAUCUUGGACAUAAAGCCAAGUUGGAAACCAACAUCCUGUGACUGGUGUUUUAUGUUCCUGCUUCUGCACCUCUCCCACGUUCCCUGAGAGCAGCACCAGAGGGAGGACCUGGGAGGGCGUCGGGGCCCUGGCUGUGGGUGCUGCCUCUGCCCACCCAUCAGGAGGCCUGCCUUCGAACAGGAAGGUGAGCUGGUGGAGCCCACACACCAGCAGGAACCAGAGCCAGCCUCGGGGCGUGUCUGUUGUGAAGCAUGCAGGUUAGGCACCCCAGGUCCUCAGAAAGCAGUGUGAUGGCCCGCACCUGUAAUCCCAGCGCUCAGGAGGCAGAGGCAGGAGGAUCGCCACGAGUUGGAGACCAGCCUGGACUACAUAGUUCAAGGCCAGCCUGAGCUACGUAGCCAGACCCUGUCUCGCCCCCCGCCCCAAAAGUCUGUUACUUACACACACUUACGUUAACUAUAUCAUGUGUUUUCCCCGCGGCCCAGGCGGGGCCCUGAGCACCGCCUCUCCUCUCCUCGCCACCCUCCGCCCCUCCCGCACCCCCCUGGAUGGCCGCAAAUGAAGCACCACGGAGGCUCGGCUGCUGCAGAGAAGCCUUUACUGGGCAGACGGGUUGACGGGGGAACAGGGCAGGGGAGGGCAGAGGGCACGACCUCCGCAGAGACAGGGG